AACGCACAUUGCGCCCCUUGGUACUCCAUGGGGCAUGCCUGUUCGAGCGUCAUUUGACACCCUCAAGCACUGCUUGGUGUUGGGCACCUGUCCCGCGGCUCUGCGCGGGACUUGCCCCAAAGUCAUUGGCAGCUGUCCUGUCGGCCUCCAGCGCAGCACUGCGCGCUCGGGGGGCUCGUUUGCAGGCUCAGCGUCCACGAAGGCGUCCUUUUUUCUACAAGCUUGACCUCGGAUCAGGUAGGGAUACCCGCUGAACUUAA
rnacentral:misc_RNA from 1 species